rnacentral:rRNA from 1 species
CCCUUAGAUGUUCUGGGCAGCACGCGCGCUACAAUGGUCUUCGCAAACGGAUGCAUUCUCGAAGGAGAAUGCCAAUCUUGGAAUCUAUGCCUUGGUCGGGACAGUUGCUUGCAAUUUUUCGACUCGAACCAGGAAUUCCUUGUAAUCGUGAUUCAUCACAUCACGAUGAAUACGUCCCUGCCCUUUGUACACACCGCCCGUCGCUCCUACCGAUCGAAGAGUUAGGUGAAUUGUUUUGAUCGAUAAGAUUUGACUAUGGUCAACUCUCGUUGAGAAAUUCUGUGAAUCUGACUGUUUAGAGGAAGGAAAAGUCGUAACA